GAGAAACUCGCCCGCGAGGGUGACUCUCCAACCCUAUGUUAACUAUACCUUUGUUGCUUUGGCGGGCCUGCCUCGGCCACCGGCUCACGCUGGUGAGUGCCCGCCAGAGGACCCUAAACUCUGUUUAUACAUGUCGUCUGAGUACUAUAUAAUAGUUAAAACUUUCAACAACGGAUCUCUUGGUUCU
rnacentral:misc_RNA from 1 species